CCUACGGGUGGCAGCAGACGGGAAUAUUGCGCAAUGGAGGAAACUCUGACGCAGGGACGCCGCGGAGAGGAAGAAGUUGUGCGGAAUGGAAACUAUUGUCGGUAGGGAAGAGAAAGGACAGGACCUAAGGAGGAAGCGCCGGCUAACUACGUGCCAGCAGCCGCGGUAAGACGUAGGGAGCGAGCGUUAUCCGGAAUUAUGGGGUGUAAAGGGUGCGUAGACGGGAAAACCAGUUAGUUGUGAAAUCCCUCGGCUUAACUGAGGAACUGCAACUAAAACUAUUUUUCUUGAGUGCAGGAGAGGUAAGUGGACUUCCUCGUGUAGCGGUGCAAUGCGUAGAUAUUAGGAGGCACACCAGUGGCGUAGGCGACUUACUGGACUGUAACUGCCGUUGCGGCACGAACGUGUGGGGAGCACACAGGAUUCGAUACCCUUGUAGUC
rnacentral:rRNA from 1 species